rnacentral:lncRNA from 1 species
AGGAGAUGUUGUACUGUGCCACACGUGAGAACCUUAGUCCUGAAUUUGUCCGGUCAGAGGUUGCCCGUGGACGAGCUAUAAUUCCUUCCAACAAGAGGCACCUGGAAUUGGAACCCAUGAUUGUUGGACGAAACUUCCUUGUAAAAGUGAAUGCAAACAUUGGGAAUUCUGCUGUUGUGAGCUCCAUCGAGGAGGAAGUACACAAGCUCCAGUGGGCUACAAUGUGGGGAGCUGAUACUGUCAUGGACCUUUCAACAGGGCGUCAUAUCCAUGAGACCCGGGAAUGGAUCCUUCGUAAUUCUUCAGUCCCUAUUGGGACGGUGCCUAUUUACCAAGCACUUGAGAAAGUUAAUGGUAUUGCUGAAAAUCUAAGCUGGGAAGUCUUUAGAGAUACUUUAAUCGAACAAGCUGAGCAGGGUGUUGAUUACUUCACAAUCCAUGCUGGCGUGCUUCUUCGUUACAUUCCUCUUACGGCAAAGAGAAUGACCGGCAUAGUUUCACGUGGUGGCUCUAUCCAUGCAAAAUGGUGCCUAACAUAUCAUAAGGAGAACUUUGCCUAUGAGCAC